rfam:Salmo salar isolate Sally breed double haploid chromosome ssa15, whole genome shotgun sequence.
UGGCUCAGUUGGUAGAGCAUGGUGUUUGCAAUGCCAGGGUUGUGGGUUAGAUUCCCAC